AUAAGAGUGUACAAAACGAGAAGGAAAUGAUGGAAUCAGAUGGGUGCUUGGUGGAGGUGAAUUCCGGCUGGCCGGUAAAUCCACGAUCUGGUCGGUACGUAGGUUAUUCAGUUUUUUCUUUUUCUAGAUGACAAUCACUGUAAUAACAGCCAAAGUCGUUCGACUUGGUAUUUCAAGUCUAUUGGGUUUUGGUAUUUUCAGUAUAUACAUAACUUGUUUGUAGAAAGAGAGUCUGCCAAAGGAACUACAUUUUGUGAGAUCAGAAUUGCAU
rnacentral:lncRNA from 1 species